rnacentral:lncRNA from 1 species
UAACACUAGAGGGCGUACUCGCUCAAAUUGCUGUGUGGACCUGGAGCUGUGGCCGCCAUUACUAAGGAGGGCAGAAAAACGAACGACCCAACAAGAUACUGUGCACAACAUACGUGGAAAAAAUUGGAGAAGCCAGGUCCGUGCGUUGCAUUUGGAUGUUCGAACCGAAGAAAGAAAGGGAACUGCAUAAUAUUUCACAAGAAUACACCCAAGAGAGGAAAGGAUGUUACACACCACAUCUCAUUCUUAGAGCUGUGCCUACUGUCUUUCCUGGACAUCCUCCCUAUAAACAGACCCAUGGCUCAAGACUCCCAGCAAAACCAUGUACAACAUCCAAAAGUGUUCCCGUGCCUCCAAAGAAACCCUAUGACAUUACAAAAGAACACGACUAUUCUUUUUCUGUCUGAGUUGAUUAGAAACUGAAUAUAACCAGACAGCAAGUGCAAGAUGCCAAGAAACAGCUUAAAGUGGUGAAACAAGGUAAACAGGAGAGAUGGAAAAACCAAGACUCUCUUGCAGGAAGUCCACGAAAGCAAGCUCAUUAGCCAGGAUCAGCUUGACCUACUUCAACACAACUUUGGAGAGAACGCAUUUUCAGGAAAAA